rnacentral:misc_RNA from 1 species
CUCGCACCAAUUACUCUCCAUCUACUUCCUUCGUUUCGCUCGCCAAACCCUAACCCUAACCCUAACCUUCUGUUUUUUGGUUCUUCUCUUCCAAUCUCGAAACACCUGCAAACCUAUUCCAUAAUCUGCAAUUCGACGGCAAAUUAACUCCACGAAACCUGUUUGCCCUAAAAAUCAUGGAUUCGGAGCAGAGCAACCUCUAUGAAACGGCGUCGCAGCCCGACACGGGGACUGACGCCUAUACCUUCCUAGAAUUCAACACCCAAGGCGAAUCUGACUUUGAAUAUCCCGAAUUCCGCUCACCCGUGGCUUGGCCUACCCCCUCCGAUUCUCUUGCGCCCACUUCCUCCUUAUCAGCUGUUGACCCCGCCACUUCAGACCACCGUGCCGCUGCUUCCUCCUCUGAUCAUCACUCUGAUUCCCCUGCGGUCUCUCCUGUGUCGCGCAGAGGGGUUGGAAGCAACAGUCAGGGGGUCGAUGGGAUAGUGGCUGGUAUGGGAGGGUUGAAUUUCGAGGAGACGGGGGACGAGGAUGCAUAUGAGUUCGGGAAAGGGGAUUUUACGGAACAUGCGUGUAGGUACUGUGGGGUUUCGAACCCGGCUUGUGUUGUGAGGUGUAAUGUUCCUUCGUGUAGGAAAUGGUUUUGUAAUUCUAGAGGGAACACUUCGGGUUCGCAUAUUGUCAAUCACCUGGUUCGUGCAAAACAUAAGGAAGUCUGUCUCCAUAAAGACAGUCCUCUAGGGGAAACGAUACUUGAAUGCUACAACUGUGGAUGUCGAAAUGUAUUCCUUCUUGGAUUUAUAUCGGCCAAGACAGAAAGUGUUGUUGUUCUCCUGUGUAGGGAACCUUGCUUGAAUGUCAAUGCAUUGAAGGACAUGAACUGGGAUCUGACUCAAUGGUGUCCCCUUAUCGAUGAUAGGUGCUUUCUACAGUGGCUUGUCAAGAUCCCUUCUGAACAGGAGCAGCUGAGGGCACGUCAAAUAAGUGCUCAGCAGAUAAAUAAAGUAGAAGAACUUUGGAAAACAAAUCCUGAUGCUACCCUUGAAGAUCUUGAGAAGCCCGGUGUUGAUGAUGAGCCUCAGCCUGUAGCAUUGAAGUAUGAAGAUGCAUAUCAGUAUCAAAAUGUAUUUGCUCCGCUAAUUAAGCUCGAGGCAGAUUAUGAUAAGAUGAUGAAAGAGUCUCAAAGCAAGGACAAUGUCGCAAUUCGAUGGGAUAUUGGUCUUAACAAGAAGCGAAUUGCAUAUUUUGUUUUUCCAAAGGAGGACAAUGAGCUACGUCUUGUACCUGGUGAUGAGUUGCGACUGCGUUAUUCUGGAGAUGCUGCUCAUCCAGCUUGGCAGUCAGUUGGGCAUGUGAUCAAGUUAACUGCACAGGAGGAAGUAGCACUUGAGCUUCGUGCUAGUCAGGGGGUUCCUGUUGAUGUAAACCAUGGCAUCAGUGUUGAUUUUGUGUGGAAAAGUACAAGCUUUGAUCGGAUGCAAGGGGCAAUGAAAACUUUUGCAGUGGAUGAAACAAGUGUUAGUGGAUAUAUAUAUCACCAUUUGUUGGGCCAUGAGGUUGAGAGUCAAAAUGUUCGUAAUACACUCCCGCGUCGUUUUGGUGCACCUGGUCUUCCAGAGCUCAAUGCAUCUCAAGUUUUUGCUGUAAAAAGUGUUCUUCAAAGACCUAUAAGCUUGAUUCAAGGUCCACCUGGCACUGGAAAAACUGUCACUUCAGCUGCCAUUGUUUAUCACAUGGCCAAACAGGGUCAGGGACAGGUUUUGGUAUGUGCCCCAAGUAAUGUAGCUGUAGACCAACUAGCUGAGAAGAUAAGUGCCACUGGCUUGAAGGUUGUUCGCCUUUGUGCUAAAUCAAGGGAAGCUGUGAGUUCCCCUGUUGAGCAUCUAACCCUUCACUAUCAGGUUAGGCAUCUCGACACUUCUGAGAAGAGUGAACUUCACAAGUUACAACAAUUGAAAGAUGAACAAGGAGAACUAUCCAGCAGUGAUGAGAAAAAAUACAAAGCACUGAAGCGAGCGACAGAGAGGGAGAUUUCUCAAAGUGCUGAUGUAAUUUGUUGCACUUGUGUUGGUGCUGGAGAUCCUCGACUGGCAAAUUUUAGGUUUCGCCAGGUGCUUAUUGACGAGUCUACUCAGGCAACAGAACCUGAAUGUCUUAUUCCUUUAGUUCUUGGGGCAAAGCAGGUUGUUCUUGUUGGUGAUCAUUGUCAGCUUGGUCCAGUCAUUAUGUGCAAGAAAGCAGCUCGUGCUGGGCUAGCUCAGUCUCUUUUUGAACGACUUGUUUUGCUUGGUGUGAAACCUAUUAGAUUGCAGGUUCAAUACCGCAUGCAUCCAUCUCUCUCGGAAUUUCCAUCUAACAACUUUUAUGAAGGUACCCUGCAAAAUGGUGUGACUGUGAAUGAGAGGCAGUCAUCAGGAAUCGAUUUCCCCUGGCCUGUGCCUAAUCGUCCCAUGUUCUUCUAUGUCCAGAUGGGACAAGAAGAAAUAAGUGCCAGUGGGACAUCCUAUCUAAACCGUACAGAGGCAGCAAAUGUUGAAAAAAUUGUAACUACUUUCUUGAGGAGUGGUGUGGUCCCUAGUCAGAUUGGGGUAAUAACACCAUAUGAGGGGCAGCGAGCAUAUAUCGUGAACUAUAUGUCAAGAAAUGGUGCUCUCAGACAGCAACUGUACAAGGAAAUUGAGGUUGCAAGUGUUGAUUCAUUUCAAGGGAGGGAAAAAGAUUACAUUAUUUUGUCUUGUGUUAGGAGCAAUGAACAUCAGGGUAUUGGAUUUCUAAAUGAUCCUCGAAGGCUUAAUGUUGCUCUAACACGAGCUAGAUACGGGAUUGUCAUCCUUGGUAAUCCUAAAGUUCUGAGCAAACAACCUCUGUGGAAUAGCUUAUUGACACACUACAAGGAACAUGAAUGCUUGGUUGAAGGACCUCUAAAUAACUUGAAGCAGAGUAUGGUUCAAUUUCAGAAGCCCAAGAAGAUCUAUAAUGAUAGGAGGCUCUUCUUUGGUGGUGGACCAGGAAUUGUAUCUAAUGACAGUUUUGGUUCUGUUGCCUCAUCCAGCCCAAAUGCUGAUAGAAGAAGCUCUCGUGGCAGGGGUUCACAUAUGCCACCUGGGCCGCCUAAUGGUACCCAUAAGCCUGGUGUGCAUCCUACUGGGUUCAUGCCUAGAGUUCCCAUUUCUCAAUUUCAUGGUGCUCCACCUUCUCAACCAUAUGCUAUUCCUACUCGUGGAGCUGUGCAUGGGCCUGUUGGAGCUGUUCCUCAUGUCCCUUCUCCAGGAAGUCGAGGUUUUGGGGCUGGCCGUGGCAAUGCUGGUGCUUCUAUUGGCAGUCAUCCUCCUCACCAGCAAGGCACACAGCAAACAAUUGGAAAUAUGGGAUCUGCUUUCAACUUUCCUGCCCUGGAGAAUCCAAAUAGUCAGCCAUCCGUGGGUGGCCCACUAUCUCAGCCUGGAUAUGUUAAUAAUAUGCCAGUGCAAGGGCCGAGUCAAACAUUUCGUGAUGGAUUUUCUAUGGGGGGCAUGUCUCAGGACUUUUUGGGUGAUGACUUCAAAAGCCAGGGAUCACAUGUUCCAUAUAAUGUUGCUGACUUUUCCACUCAGGUGAAAGCCAUGUAACUUUUUUGAUGUUAUAUAAUUAGUAGCCUUAUAUCAUUCAUGCAGGCUAUUGAUCACAUUAGCUUAGCAUAUAAUCCAUCUGUUUGGUUGGGUUGUGUUAUUCUGAAGGCAUCUGGCGCUGGUGAUUGUAGGAAUACUUUCUCUUUCCAGUCUAUGUAUCUUCCCAGAUGAGGGAAUUUGUGUUAUAAAGCACUUUGUCUAUGCUUGGAGUUUGAAUAUAUUGCAAACUGCUAUGCAGGCAUCACAAAGUGGAUAUGCUGUUGAUUAUGUGACCCAGGGAGCACAGGGUGGGUUCCCAGGCAACUUUAUGAAUCAGAAUUCUCAAGCUGGAUUUUCUCGUUUUGGUUCUGGAAAUGAUUUCAUGUCUCAGGUUUGCUCAUUAAAGAAAUCUUUGUUCUUUUGUUAUAUCUCGAGUGUUAUUUCUGUCCCGAUGUGAGGAAUACUUGACUCAUCGAUCGCAGGGGCUGUUCACCCAGAUUGGCUUCAAUGAUCCCUCACAAGAUGAUGCAUCACAGAACCACUUUGGCAUAGCCAAUCCAAACCCACUUCAGUCCCAGGUUUUCUCAUGCCACUAAUGCUGAUUGAAAAGAAUUGUAACAGGCAGAAUGCUCAAAUUAUCCAUAUGUAGAAAAAUUUGGCCUUGAUCAUACAGCCAAAUGCUUUUAGGCUGUUUUUAUUGAUUUUGCUUGAUCAGUAGUUGUUCUUCUCAUUAGUUUGGUAAUUGGUAGUUAUUUUUUUGUGUCAUGUAUUUUAACAUGGUGAAUUUCAAUGCAGGGCUUGAUGAACUCUCUCUACUCGCAACCCUUUACUCACUACAACACACAGCCACUAAACUUGCAAUCUCAACAGCAGCCUCAGCAGGGUCAAGGCUCCCAAAACCAGAAAAUCCACUACAAUGGUUGAGGGGUCAUGGAAGUGUUAUUUUGGCUGUGAUGGGUUAUAAUCUUUGCAUUCAGCAUCCUGGUUUGUGCUGUCACGUGUGCCCAAAUUUAUCUGCUAAAAGUGCAGAAAAAAUUUGCCAUCUUUUUGAGGUCAUUUUGAUACCUUUCAUAAUCGAAAGACGACCUUGGAUGAUAAGAAUAAAGAUGACCUUGUGGAUAGUGGCUAUGCUAUGGGGUCCAUAAAAAGAUGCAAGCUGCACAUCCGAGGCUGAGAAACAAAAAGGAUAACCCCAAUCGCCUGCUUAAAGUAGUAUUUUGAGAAAGGUAAAAAAUGGUUCCAAAGGAGAGCAUUACAUGGCAUGGUUCUGUCGAAAGGGUCCGGAGAUGAAGAUGUUGAGGCAUAUAUUUUUAUUUGAUUUACAGUGGAACCCCAUUAUUUACAAAGCAGCAGAGUUAGCAGAGAAAAUGUGUACAGCAUGAUGGGGCAAGUCGCCAAACCCUUUCAGCUUCUCCUGACAUGUAAUUAUACUCUGUUAUAUAAUCUGUUUAGAUGAUGAUUUCUUUAGGAAUGUCCUGCAGUGCAACCCCUAAUACCCUUAACGGUUAUAUGGAAUUGGAUUAUGUAAGUGUGAAAUUGGUUUUAAUGUCAAAAUUGGCUUUGUUUUAAAUGCUUAGUCCCAUUGUUUUACUGGGGCUCUCAAGUGAGAGAUUGUACCAUUAAAAAGCUUAUUAGUAUGUAUAAAUGAUGGUGAUUGGUUCAGUGCUCUCCUUGUACUGCUUUUAUCAACGUAUGAAGAAUGUUG